rnacentral:rRNA from 2 species
AGCUGCAUUCUUGACGUUAGCGACAGAUGAGCACCGGUCUACUGCGUGCCAGGCAGCGGCGGUAUUAUGAGGGUGCGAGCAAUUAAUCCGAAAUUACUGGGCGUAUAGCGCAUGCAGGUGGUUAUGUUAAGUCAGAUGUGAUAAUCCCGGCGCUCAACCUCGGAAUUGCAUUUGAAACUGGCAGACUAGAGUACUGUAGAGGAGGGUAGAAUUUCACGUGUAGCGGUGAAAUGCGUAGAGAUCUGACGGAAUACCGGUGGCGAAGGCGGCCCCCUGGACAGAUACUGACACUCAGAUGCGAAAGCGUGGGGAGCAAACAGGAUUAGAUACCCUGGUAGUCCACGCCGUAAACGAUGUCUACUUGGAGGUUGUGGCCUUGAGCCGUGGCUUUCGGAGCUAACGCGUUAAGUAGACCGCCUGGGGAGUACGGUCGCAAGAUUAAAACUCAAAUGAAUUGACGGGGGCCCGCACAAGCGGUGGAGCAUGUGGUUUAAUUCGAUGCAACGCGAAGAACCUUACCUACUCUUGACAUCCAGAGAACUUUCCAGAGAUGGAUUGGUGCCUUCGGGAACUCUGAGACAGGUGCUGCAUGGCUGUCGUCAGCUCGUGUUGUGAAAUGUUGGGUUAAGUCCCGCAACGAGCGCAACCCUUAUCCUUGUUUGCCAGCGAGUAAUGUCGGGAACUCCAGGGAGACUGCCGGUGAUAAACCGGAGGAAGGUGGGGACGACGUCAAGUCAUCAUGGCCCUUACGAGUAGGGCUACACACGUGCUACAAUGGCGCAUACAGAGGGCAGCCAACUUGCGAAAGUGAGCGAAUCCCAAAAAGUGCGUCGUAGUCCGGAUUGGAGUCUGCAACUCGACUCCAUGAAGUCGGAAUCGCUAGUAAUCGUGGAUCAGAAUGCCAUUGUGAAUACGUUCCCGGGCCUUGUACACACCGCCCGUCACACCAUGGGAGUGUGGCUGCAAAAGAAGUAGUGUAGUUUAACCUUCGGGGGGACGC